CAAGGACCAAGCCAAUUUUUUUGGUCUACAACCAAAAGAAACUGAAAAGCCUUUGCCUGGAGCCUAAGCUCCUGAGGGAAGAAAUUGAGUUUCAGCUUUGGGAUGCAAUUUUGCUGGAAGACUUGUUAGAAGCCUCUCUAGAGGAAAACUGAGGGAAAGUAACUUCCUCUGUCACAUCCAUUGCCUCAAAGAGAAGAGCCUAUAAUCAAGCCCUAGGAUGAUCAGGAUGCUCACCACUGACACACGCUUUACACCAUGAAGCUUUGCAUAACAAGACACACUGGAGAUGACAAGUGCACACUGCUUCAAGUUAUUUCAGAAGUCCAUGUGUUACCAGAGGAAGAAAAGCAUGAACAAAAAGCUGUGCAUUUGCAGACUUCAGCUUGAACAGGGACUAUGUAUUGGAAAAGAUUGUGAAUGGGGUAGGGAGAGGCACAGAUGGUGUGCAACAGGAUGAAGCAAAGCAUACAAGAC
rnacentral:lncRNA from 12 species